UUGCUUCAGCAACAUAUAUGCUAAAAUUGGAAGGAUACAGUGAAGAUUAGCAUGGCCCCUGUGCAAGGAUGACAAGCAAAUUCAUGACACAUUCCAUAUGUUU
rnacentral:snRNA from 1 species